AGAGCGAACGCUGGCGGCAGGCCUAACACAUGCAAGUCGAGCGCCCGUAGCAAUACGGGAGCGGCAGACGGGAUAGUAACACGUGGGAACGCGCCCUUCGGUUCGGAAUAACUCAGGGAAACUUGAGCUAAUACCGGAUACGCCCUUACGAGGAAAGAUUUAUUGCCGAAGGAACGGCCCGCGUCCGAUUAGCUAGUUGGUGAGGUAAUGGCUCACCAAGGCGACGAUCGGUAGCUGGUCUGAGAGGAUGACCAGCAUCACUGGGACUGAGACACGGCCCAGACUCCUACGGGAGGCAGCAGUGGGGAAUAUUGGACAAUGGGCGCAAGCCUGAUCCAGCCAUGCCGCGUGGAUGAUGAAGGCCUUAGGGUUGUAAAGUCCUUUUAACGGGGAAGAUAAUGACGGUACCGUAGAAUAAGCCCGGCUAACUUCGUGCCAGCAGCCGC
rnacentral:rRNA from 1 species